rnacentral:rRNA from 1 species
ACGAACGCUGGCGGCGUGCUUAACACAUGCAAGUCGAACGGAAAGGCCCUGCUUUUGUGGGGUGCUCGAGUGGCGAACGGGUGAGUAACACGUGAGUAACCUGCCCUUGACUUUGGGAUAACUUCAGGAAACUGGGGCUAAUACCGGAUAGGAGCUCCUGCUGCAUGGUGGGGGUUGGAAAGUUUCGGCGGUUGGGGAUGGACUCGCGGCUUAUCAGCUUGUUGGUGGGGUAGUGGCUUACCAAGGCUUUGACGGGUAGCCGGCCUGAGAGGGUGACCGGCCACAUUGGGACUGAGAUACGGCCCAGACUCCUACGGGAGGCAACAGUGGGGAAUAUUGCACAGUGGGCGGAAGCCUGAUGCAGCAACGCCGCGUGCGGGAUGACGGCCUUCGGGUUGUAAACCGCUUUCGCCUGUGACGAAGCGUGAGUGACGGUAAUGGGUAAAGAAGCACCGGCUAACUACGUG